AUUACCUGGGGACCUUGUUAAGAUGCAAAUUCUGGUUCAGUAGGUUUGGGGCAGGCCCAAGAUUCUGCACCUUUAACAAGCCCCCAUGUGCUGCUGU
rfam:Nomascus leucogenys chromosome 14, whole genome shotgun sequence.